rnacentral:rRNA from 1 species
UACGUAGGGUGCGAGCGUUGUCCGGAAUUAUUGGGCGUAAAGGGCUCGUAGGUGGUUUGUCGCGUUGUCCGUGAAAACUCACAGCUCAACUGUGGGCGUGCGGGCGAUACGGGCAGACUGGAGUACUGCAGGGGAGACUGGAAUUCCUGGUGUAGCGGUGGAAUGCGCAGAUAUCAGGAGGAACACCGGUGGCGAAGGCGGGUCUCUGGGCAGUAACUGACGCUGAGGAGCGAAAGCGUGGGGAGCGAACAGG